UGAGACCUGCGGGUGGAGUGUGGUGCCCUAACUCUAACAGAGCCUGUGAACAGAGGCUUACCAGGCAGUGGACUGAGACUGGCAAGAGACACUUGCCGACAGUGGAUGUAACUUGUUUCAGAUGAUGCUAUGAAAGAGCGGAGGCUCUAGCCUGCACCCCCUGGUGACUAUGGAGCAGAGUCUUCCACUGAUCCAUGCUGGUUCUAGAGUGUGGGAAGACCAAGAUCAAGUGCUGGCAUUGAGCAUCUGAGACUCACUCACAGGCUGAAGUGCAGUAGCAUGAUCAUCGCUCAAUGGUCCUUACCCUCCUGGGCUCAAGCAAUCCUCCUGUGUUCACCUCUCAAGUGGCUGGGACUACAG